rnacentral:rRNA from 1 species
UACGUAGGGUGCAAGCGUUAAUCGGAAUUACUGGGCGUAAAGCGCGCGCAGGCGGUUCUAUAAGACAGAUGUGAAAUCCCCGGGCUCAACCUGGGAACUGCAUUUGUGACUGUAGAGCUGGAGUACGGUAGAGGGGGAUGGAAUUCCGCGUGUAGCAGUGAAAUGCGUAGAUAUGCGGAGGAACACCGAUGGCGAAGGCAAUCCCCUGGACCUGUACUGACGCUCAUGCACGAAAGCGUGGGGAGCAAACAGG